UGUCAGUGUAAAGCCCAGCUCUGCUGCUUACCACCUGUGUGACCCUGGGCAUGUCACUUAGCCUUCCUGUUGCUCAGUUUCAUCAAAUGGAAAAUGGGAAUUACAGUACCCACAUCAUUUAGUUGUGAGGAUUAAAU
rnacentral:snoRNA from 1 species